rnacentral:sRNA from 1 species
UUCUGUGUUGUAGCUGUCUGGCCAGGGCGACUGGCGGAUAAGGUCUUGUGUGUGGCCUCGAGGCUUAAAAGUAGCAGCGGGGCUUUGUGAAGGACAAAAUGGCGAUGGCGGGCCGUGUAGGUCCCCCUUCCUAUGAUGAGGACCUUUUCACAGACCUGUACUGAGCUCCGUGAGGAUAAGUAACUCUGAGGAGAUGGGCCCUGCAAGCCUCCUGCUUAGCCGUCUCUUCAGAAAAUAGCGUUUUCGAAAUGCCUUGUGUUGACCUAAUGUCUUAUUGGGCUCCUGUCUGCAGGAUUUACGCGCACGUUGGAACCGAAGAGAGCUCUGUUGUUGCAAUGUUCAGCCCACAAGACCUUACUGGUGAAGGAAUGGGACAAGACCCAUCUUUAUGCAAAGCCAGCGUUACAGUAAUGUCCCAGGUAGGUGUACAUGGUUUAUGCUCUUACAGAGGAGACCUUGUAGAUAACCACUCCAUGAUGAACACAAAAUGACAAGCAUAUGGCUGAACUUUCAAGUGAUGUCAUCUUACUACUGAGAAGUGAGAGAGAGGUCUUAAGGGGUCUUUGAAUGACUAUUUUUAGGUACAUAAAAUGCUUUCCUCUGUUGUCUACAGCAUCUCAUAAUCUAUCCUGGGGAAUUCAGCUGCCUCCCAGGGUGAAUACAGGUAAUUAUCCAAAUUGGUGUAUGUCAUCUUUGUAAAUGUUCACAAGAAAACAAGUGGCCGGCGGAAGCAAUGUUUUUUGGCGCCUUCCAUCUUGUUCCUCUUGAAAUGAUUUUCUGGGGAGGGAGAUCGCAACCCGGUACUACAGUUCUUGUAAGGGUGUGCUGUUACCCUCAUCCAUAUAUCGAUCACGUUACUGUCAGAUGAUUUGA